rnacentral:rRNA from 1 species
CUAACGAUUGAUCUAGUUACUUAGAAAAAUGAGAAACCAAACAAUAUAAAAAAAAGGAAUUUGAGAAAAAUAAAAUUUAAAUUAUAUCAAAAAUAAUGAUUAGAUAUAAUAAAGUCUUAACAAAAAUUAGUGCCAGCAGUUGCGGUUAAACUAAGAAGACAAACGUUAAUCAUUAAGGCUUAAAGGAUCCGUAGAACAAUUAAUUAAAAAAAUUAAUUAGAGUUUAUAAAUGUUAAAAGAAGUGUCAUAGUAGAGAUUAAAUAUAAUAAUUAUGAAAUGACUGCUAAUGUGAAGAUAUUUAACUUAACUAAACUGACGUUGAGAGGAUGAAGGCGUAAAUAAUAAAAUGGAUUAGAUACCCAUGUAAUUUAUGCAGUAAACUAUGAAUACUAAUUUAUUAAUUAUAUAUUUAAUUAAUUUAUAAAGUGAAAACGUAAGUAUUCCGCCAGGUGAG